rnacentral:rRNA from 1 species
ACUAAUGCUAGCCCUAAUAAAUUUAAAUAUAAUUAUACUGACAUAUUAACUAAAUCAUUUAGUAUGACUAAAAGUAUUGGAGAAAGAAAUUUUAAUCAGGAGCUAUAGAAAAAGUNNNNCAAGGGAAAGAUGAAAG